UAAUAUUCCUGUACUUGGUGUUACUGCGAAGGGGGGACGGAGAAGGCUAUGUUGGCCGGGCGACGGUUGUCCCGGUUUAAGCGUGUAGGCUGGUUUUCCAGGCAAAUCCGGAAAAUCAAGGCUGAGGCGUGAUGACGAGGCACUACGGUGCUGAAGCAACAAAUGCCCUGCUUCCAGGAAAAGCCUCUAAGCAUCAGGUAACAUCAAAUCGUACCCCAAACCGACACAGGUGGUCAGGUAGAGAAUACCAAGGCGCUUGAGAGAACUCGGGUGAAGGAACUAGGCAAAAUGGUGCCGUAACUUCGGGAGAAGGCACGCUGAUAUGUAGGUGAAGUCCCUUGCGGAUGGAGCUGAAAUCAGUCGAAGAUACCAGCUGGCUGCAACUGUUUAUUAAAAACACAGCACUGUGCAAACACGAAAGUGGACGUAUACGGUGUGACGCCUGCCCGGUGCCGGAAGGUUAAUUGAUGGGGUCAGCGCAAGCGAAGCUCUUGAUCGAAGCCCCGGUAAACGGCGGCCGUAACUAUAACGGUCCUAAGGUAGCGAAAUUCCUUGUCGGGUAAGUUCCGACCUGCACGAAUGGCGUAAUGAUGGCCAGGCUGUCUCCACCCGAGACUCAGUGAAAUUGAACUCGCUGUGAAGAUGCAGUGUACCCGCGGCAAGACGGAAAGACCCCGUGAACCUUUACUAUAGCUUGACACUGAACAUUGAGCCUUGAUGUGUAGGAUAGGUGGGAGGCUUUGAAGUGUGGACGCCAGUCUGCAUGGAGCCGGCCUUGAAAUACCACCCUUUAAUGUUUGAUGUUCUAACGUGGACCCGUGAUCCGGGUUGCGGACAGUGUCUGGUGGGUAGUUUGACUGGGGCGGUCUCCUCCUAAAGAGUAACGGAGGAGCACGAAGGUUGGCUAAUCCUGGUCGGACAUCAGGAGGUUAGUGCAAUGGCAUAAGCCAGCUUGACUGCGAGCGUGACGGCGCGAGCAGGUGCGAAAGCAGGUCAUAGUGAUCCGGUGGUUCUGAAUGGAAGGGCCAUCGCUCAACGGAUAAAAGGUACUCCGGGGAUAACAGGCUGAUACCGCCCAAGAGUUCAUAUCGACGGCGGUGUUUGGCACCUCGAUGUCGGCUCAUCACAUCCUGGGGCUGAAGUAGGUCCCAAGGGUAUGGCUGUUCGCCAUUUAAAGUGGUACGCGAGCUGGGUUUAGAACGUCGUGAGACAGUUCGGUCCCUAUCUGCCGUGGGCGCUGGAGAACUGAGGGGGGCUGCUCCUAGUACGAGAGGACCGGAGUGGACGCAUCACUGGUGUUCGGGUUGUCAUGCCAAUGGCACUGCCCGGUAGCUAAAUGCGGAAGAGAUAAGUGCUGAAAGCAUCUAAGCACGAAACUUGCCCCGAGAUGAGUUCUCCCUGACCCUUUAAGGGUCCUGAAGGAACGUUGAAGACGACGACGUUGAUAGGCCGGGUGUGUAAGCGCAGCGAUGCGUUGAGCUAACCGGUACUAAUGAACCGUGAGG
rnacentral:rRNA from 2 species